GCUGACCGGAAGCUUGUGGUCAAGUGAUAAGGGAAAGUAUUUGGAAUGUCACCAUAUUUCAGGUUCGAUCUACCUGUCAUGUGACACUAAGUUACAUUUUCCUGAUCACUCUAGACGGAUAUGGACUACUGCAUUUCGACCCAUUUGAAUACCCGAGAAAUGGUCUAUCUGUGGGCUACCUCCCACCUGGGGGUUAGGUUUGUGUCUUUAAUAAACCCGAGCUUAAUCCAUUUUUUU
rnacentral:lncRNA from 1 species